GUACAUAUGAUAAACAAGGAGAACUAGUUAAGAAUUUAACACAAGGCAAAGAAGAGGCGUUAUCGUUGGUGUAACAACAGAAACGUGAACUGCUUCACAAGGAUAGUGUUAUCCAUAUUUUGAAGACACAAAGAGAUGAAUCAGUUUCUAUCCUCAAGCUUCAUGGACUAACCGUGCCUUCCCAAAUAUCAGAUUUUAUCAGUCAUGCAUGUUUCACCAGUCGAAGAUGUUGGCACACCAGCAGCGAAUAUGAAUAAUAAAGAACUUCCAGUUCAGAACGAAAAUUUGCGUCUGUUAUUCAUCAAAUGAGAGAGGACAUGGAGGAUUUGAGAAGCUUGUAAAACACUCGGGAAGCUUGUAAAACACUCGAGAAGCUUGUAAAACACUCGGCUACGCCUCGUGUUU